CCGAGAAGGUUACGCCCGACUGGAGGCUAAGAUGCAAAAAAAAAAGAACACAACUGAACAGAUUGAUAGAGCUGAUUUAUGGGUAAAAGGUCACAAAUCGAGUGAAGGAAAGGAAACAAAUCCUAGUGUUCUAAGUGCUUUUGUGAGAAAUCUUCUCUUCUCCCGUCUUUGAAUUAAUGUGUGCUUCAAUAAUGCAACAAUAUCUUAUAUGUUUCACACUUAUAAAGAAAAAAAUUGAAGAAGCUCAAGCACAUCAUGGUUCUGGUAGUGGAUCUUCCUUGACAGAUGAUGUUCUUACACAGGCUCUUGGUGAAGAUAAAGGGGUGAGACUUAAAGUCAUGGGGUUUGGAGCGACACGUAAAAAGAUUGCAGCCAAUAGUCAUUAUAAGUUGAUCAUUCAAAAGUGUCAGGAAACCUAUAGAGCAAUGAAUGAUCGUCUUGUCAUGUUAGAGGAGAAGAGCUCAAAGUGUGUAUGCGCUGAAGUCUACUCUCACACUUACAGUCCAGUUGCAAGCAACAAUGUGGCUAGUACUAGCAGAGUUGCUCCCUGCAAUUCCUCAACUCCCACUACUAGUCCUGUCAGAAGAUCAAGUGAUGUGAAAGUGCCAGAAAGAUUUACACCAUGCCGGUUAAUAAGUUGGUAGAAAGAAGGAGAGGUGGUGGUUGACGCUAAAAUUAGUGUAACAGAUCCUUCAAAGGAGAUACAUGGGGACCCAAUAGGUUUUGGAUCCUACAUUGUGUGCGUGUUGAUUUCUCAUGUUGAAGGUGCUCUCGUAUUCAAGCGAACUUCAGAGUUCAAGUUUGUUGCUGAUGCUGUUGUAAGUGUCAUCUCAUGGCCCAAGGAUCGCAUAGUGUUCGAUUAGUGUUCAAGAAACUUUUAACGUAUCUUAUAUUUAACUUGGUGUGUGUUUAAGAAACUUUUAACUUUUGGUAACAAACAUCUGUAUCUCUGCCAUUUUUUGAAUUUAUGUGUUUAACACUAGAAGGUGAACUUGAAUGAAUGUAAUGGGUCA